AGUGAGGUGGCAGAAUAAUGCAUUAGGUUUAAGCUCUAAAGAUAAAGAUGAAACUUCUUUUCUCAGUA
rnacentral:tRNA from 1 species